rnacentral:lncRNA from 1 species
CAGCCAGACUCUGCGCUGUGAACACCGUGCCUCUGCUUGGCCAAACAGCUGCCUGUAACAACACAGAAUUCAAAGUGGAGCUGGGGCGAUCCGUCACUCGCCACUCUCAGACAGGCUGCUAUUAAUCACGCCGGCCACAUCCAUCAGGUUCUUCUCUUUUGGCCACGGCUCAUAGUCACAGAAGCGCAGCCAGGGUCUCCUGAUAAAUCAAACCCAACAGUUCUAUGAUAAGGAUGACACAGGUGAAUGGGGGACAAAAGUGUACAGUCUUAGCCAUGUAUCCACAAAAUUUAAAAAGUGGAGGACAGAGAUGACUGCUGACUGCCAAGAGCCAGAGACUGACUUUCUUCUUUCUUUUCUUCGUUCUUUCUUUCUUCCUUCCUUCGUCUCUUUCUCUCUCUUUCUAUUUAUAACCUUCUUAAACCUCCAUCAUGUGUGGGAGUUAGUAUUACCACUGUGCUCAGCUGAAGAAAUCAAAGCUCAGAGAGGUUGAGAAAUGUGCACAAGAUCACAAAGUUUGUAGUAGCAAAGCUAGUAUUGAAGUUCAGGUCUAGGUGAGUGGCAGAAAUAGUUAGAAUAGCGAGGAAGAUAAGUAGUAAGGAGCUGAGUCAGGGGCAUAGAGAAGAUGAAAAGAGACAGAAAAGAAAAGAAUGAGAGGAAAAGUCCAGGAGCAGAAAGCAAACUGCCUUCACAACCAAGUUCCUCUGCUGGACUCUCAGCUUUGCCACAUGCAGCCUGGUGACUCAGGACAAUCCUAUCACCACAGCCUCUUCGUCUGUGCAAGGCGACCAGGGCCAGCCAGCCAGCUGUGACACUGGUUUGUUUUCAGGAUCAAAAGACGCUGUGUGGGAAGUUCUACAUCACUGGGCAUGCUGUACACAUGGAAGCUCUUCAGCUGGUGUUUAGAGGAUGGAUGAGACUCAGAAGGGCAGACCCCAGGAUAUAGGGAAUGAGAACAUCCACCAAAUGGUGAACAGAGCUGUGAGGAACCCCUGCCUAGGAUGUGGAGCCAACUUGGAUAACCACCUGCAGGUCUGCUUCACCCAGAAUCGACCCAACAGUGGAGAGCAGAAGGCCAGAAAGGAGAAAGGCUGAUGUGAGCAGUUUCUUUGAGGUGAGAACCAUAAAGGAAUUUUUGACUCCUGAGGCUGGGAGCUCCAGAGAGUGCU